CCUACGGGAGGCUGCAGUGGGGAAUAUUGGACAAUGGGGGCAACCCUGAUCCAGCCAUGCCGCGUGUGUGAAGAAGGCCCUCGGGUUGUAAAGCACUUUCAGUGAGGAAGAACGCCUGGUGGUUAAUACCCAUCAGGAAAGACAUCACUCACAGAAGAAGCACCGGCUAACUCCGUGCCAGCAGCCGCGGUAAUACGGAGGGUGCGAGCGUUAAUCGGAAUUACUGGGCGUAAAGCGCGCGUAGGUGGCUUGAUAAGCCGGUUGUGAAAGCCCCGGGCUCAACCUGGGAACGGCAUCCGGAACUGUCGAGCUAGAGUGCAGGAGAGGAAGGUAGAAUUCCCGGUGUAGCGGUGAAAUGCGUAGAGAUCGGGAGGAAUACCAGUGGCGAAGGCGGCCUUCUGGACUGACACUGACACUGAGGUGCGAAAGCGUGGGUAGCAAACAGGAUUAGAUACCCUGGUAGUC
rnacentral:rRNA from 1 species